UUUCAUCUCUCUCUCGAGGAGGAUUAUGGUUGCUCUCCAUUAUACCUUCUAGUGAGGAGUAGUUGAUCCCACUACACUAAAGUGUAGUCAAUGAGCUCUACCGCUGCCAGUUUGAUCUUUUUUUUCUUGAGGUAGUUAUGGCAAUUAAAGACUAGUUUUAUCUUCCUCUCCCACUCCAAGUAUGCUUCAACAUUAUUCCUACACUUGAAAGGUUGUAUUCUCAUCUUCAGGGAGCUGAUAUUGCUAUCUCUCCUUUGU
rnacentral:lncRNA from 1 species